UACGUAGGGUGCGAGCGUUGCCCGGAUUUAUUGGGCGUAAAGGGCGCGUAGGCGGCUCGGCACGUCCGUUGUGAAAUCGCCCGGCUCAACUGGGCGGGGUCGGCGGAUACGGCCGAGCUGGAGCAAGCUAGGGGGUAAUGGAAUUCCCGGUGUAGUGGUGGAAUGCGUAGAUAUCGGGAGGAACACCAGUGGCGAAGGCGGUUACCUGGACGCUU
rnacentral:rRNA from 1 species